UAGGGAAUCUUCCGCAAUGGACGCAAGUCUGACGGAGCAACGCCGCGUGAGUGAAGAAGGAUUUCGGUUCGUAAAACUCUGUUGUUAGAGAAGAACAGCGCAUAGAGUAACUGUUAUGCGUGUGACGGUAUCUAACCAGAAAGCCACGGCUAACUACGUGCCAGCAGCCGCGGUAAUACGUAGGUGGCAAGCGUUGUCCGGAUUUAUUGGGCGUAAAGCGAGCGCAGGCGGUCAAUUAAGUCUGAUGUGAAAGCCCCCGGCUCAACCGGGGAGGGUCAUUGGAAACUGGUUGACUUGAGUGCAGAAGAGGAGAGUGGAAUUCCAUGUGUAGCGGUGAAAUGCGUAGAUAUAUGGAGGAACACCAGUGGCGAAGGCGAGUCUCUGGUCUGUAACUGACGCUGAGGCUCGAAAGCGUGGGUAGCAAACAGG
rnacentral:rRNA from 1 species